AGUUGGUGGAGUGAUUUGUCUGGUUUAUUCCGUUAACGAACGAGACCUCGGCCUGCUAAUUAGUCGGCCCUACACUUUGUGUAGGAUUGUCGCACUUCUUAGAGGGACUAUCGGUGUGUAGCCGAUGGAAGUUCGAGGCAAUAACAGGU
rnacentral:rRNA from 1 species